UCGCGCCGGCUCACACUUGCAGAGGGCAGCAGUAACAGAGAACGGUCUUGUUUCUCCGUUUCACCGGAGCGCGCUCUCUCGCUCCUUCUCUCUCCCCUUCACCAGUGUGUGUGCUGCUGCAGUGGCUCUUAUUAUUAUUACAGAAGCUGUCGCUUGCGCCGGGCGGCCGGGACAGCGCGAGGGAAGAGUAGAGAGCAAAGGGGAAAGGUGUUUCACCACCUGAGCGAUUUAUUUUCGGGAGGAAAAAGGACGCUAUGGACGGAAAAACAUCCCGGUUCCAUUGACUCCGCGUUAGUUUAAUUGUAGUUUUGCCGCUGUAGAGACAGAAGAAGCCACCAUUUCAUCUGUCUUCACAGACCGACACUUCUUUUCACGUGUGCGUUUUUGCUGACAGCCGCGCGCGCCGUGCUGCCUUGGACAUAGUAUCCUCGAGCCUCUCUGGGUUGGUCUACGCGCCGCGUUGCGUUUCACAAAACUUAAAAUUAACAACCAGGCUUCACACUCCGCAGGAAAACAAAGAAACAACACUUUCCGGAGUGAGAUAAUUGGAAAUAAACCGUCUAGAAACGUGAGUAAAGUAGUGAAAGAGGACCGUGCGGCGAAUAUGGUGCUCUGAAUGCGCUUUUUCUAGUUUUCUUUUUUUGCCAUUUUCACCAUUAACACUGACGUCGAGCAGCUGAACGAGUGGAAGAAGUUUUUUGUUGGAAAAAGUGGAAGAAAAAUAACCGGCUACACGACGGUGGUCGUAAACUGGGAGAGGAGGGUCCCCCCACUCUGGGACGAACAGCGCUGUGUACGGCUGUAUGGUCCUGAACGACACUGAUGCUUCAACGUGAGACUCCCCUCUGCCUCACACCUGCCAGCACAGUUUUGGAAGCACAGAAGGGGAUGACGCAACUUGGCGGCAGACCAGUGUCAUUCAACUGCUAGACCACUCAACAAGUUGGUAGGUUACACUCGAACCCUCUCACUGUCUCUCCAUCUGUAUCUCUGUAUUUCUCGCUGAAUCACGGCUUGGCAUUGUCUAUCUGCCUCUCAGUUAUUCCCUCUUCAACAUAUUUCGCUGCCUAUCCUGUUCAUUUUUGUCGAAAUUGUUCUUUCUGCUUC